rnacentral:ncRNA from 1 species
UGAAACGCGAUGACGAGAAGAGUAGAUACGAGCAGUCCUUCACAGAGAGCCCCGGGCGGUGAAAAGGGGCAGGGAACGCUGUAUUGAAACAAGCCUCUGAGCGGCGUACCGGAACUUAAGCAGCCGGGAUGGUACGACAGGAGCUCCUGUUACAGAGCUAGAGUAUAAGCCUUGCUGCCGCAGCUGCUGCGGACAAUGCCGUACUUGAUGAGAUUAAUAUGGCGACAUAUUAAUGAACCUGGGGUGGUACCGCGAGAAUCUCGUCCCCAAG